GGCCUCUCUCCCACGGGGCUUUGGAGGGAUUCCUUUUCUCCUCACCCAAGACUGGAGGUCAAGAUCAAACCUUGAGGAUCAUUGUAAGGACUGCCACAGCUGGGCAGCCUGUUUUCCUACCUCAGACACGU
rnacentral:snoRNA from 1 species